AGUGAACGCUGGCGGCGUGGAUUAGGCAUGCAAGUCGAACGAUUCCCGCAAGGGAAUAGUGGCAAACGGGUGAGUAACACGUAAGCAAUCUUCCUUAAAGUUGAGCAUAGCUUCGCGAAAGCGGAGGUAAUACUCGAUGUAACCCAAUGAUCGCAUGGUCGAUGGGAUAAAGGUGGGGACCGCAAGGCCCACCGCUUUGAGAUGAGCUUGCGUCCUAUCAGCAGUUGGUGAGGUAAUGGCUCACCAAGGCUUAUGACGGGUAGCUGGUCUGAGAGGAUGGGUCAGCCACACGUGGGACUGAGACACUGCCCAGACUCCUA
rnacentral:rRNA from 1 species